rnacentral:rRNA from 1 species
AUUGAACGCUGGCGGCAGGCCUAACACAUGCAAGUCGAGCGAGCGGCGGACGGGUGAGUAAUGUCUGGGAAACUGCCUGAUGGAGGGGGAUAACUACUGGAAACGGUAGCUAAUACCGCAUACCACCAGAUGAGCCCAGCUGGGGUGAGCUAGUAGGUGGGGUAAUGGCUCACCGAGGCGAAGAUCCCUAGCUGGGCUGAGCGGAUGACCAGCCACGCGGGAACUGAGCCACGGUCCAGACUCCUACGGGAGGCAGCAGUGGGGAAUAUUGCACAAUGGGCGCAAGCCUGAUGCAGCCAUGCCGAGUGUGUGAAGAAGGCCUUCGGGUUGUAAAGCACUUUCAGCGGGGAGGCGUUACCCGCAGAAGAAGCACCGGCUAACUCCGUGCCAGCAGCCGCGGUAAUAC